AGGGUUUGAUUAUGGCUCAGGAUGAACGCUGGCGGCGUGCUUAACACAUGCAAGUCGAACGAGGAUUUAACGGAAUGCGAUUCGUCAAAUGAAAUUAAAUCCGAGUGGCGGACGGGUGAGUAACGCGUGGAUAACCUGCCUCACACAGGGGGACAACAGCCGGAAACGGCUGCUAAUACCGCAUAACACAAGUAAUUCGCAUGAAUAACUUGCCAAAGAUUUCAUCGGUGUGAGAUGGAUCCGCGUCUGAUUAGCCAGUUGGCGGGGUAACGGCCCACCAAAGCGACGAUCAGUAGCCGACCUGAGAGGGUGACCGGCCACAUUGGGACUGAGACACGGCCCAA
rnacentral:rRNA from 1 species